AACGAACGCUGGCGGCAUGCCUAACACAUGCAAGUCGAACGAACCCUUCGGGGUUAGUGGCGCACGGGUGCGUAACGCGUGGGAAUCUGCCCUUUGCUUCGGAAUAACUCAGGGAAACUUGUGCUAAUACCGGAUGAUGUCUUCUGACCAAAGAUUUAUCGGCAAGGGAUGAGCCCGCGUAGGAUUAGGUAGUUGGUGGGGUAAAGGCCUACCAAGCCGACGAUCCUUAGCUGGUCUGAGAGGAUGAUCAGCCACACUGGGACUGAGACACGGCCCAGACUCCUACGGGAGGCGGCAGUGGGGAAUAUUGGACAAUGGGCGCAAGCCUGAUCCAGCAAUGCCGCGUGAGUGAUGAAGGCCCUCGGGUCGUAAAGCUCUUUUACCAGGGAUGAUAAUGACAGUACCUGGAGAAUAAGCUCCGGCUAACUCCGUG
rnacentral:rRNA from 1 species